rnacentral:rRNA from 1 species
CCUACGGGUGGCAGCAGUAGGGAAUAUUGCACAAUGGGCGAAAGCCUGAUGCAGCAACGCCGCGUGCGCGAUGAAGGCCUUCGGGUCGUAAAGCGCUUUUCGGGGAGACGAGGAAGGACGGUAUCCCCGGAAGAAGGAUCGGCUAACUACGUGCCAGCAGCCGCGGUAAAACGUAGGAUCCGAGCGUUAUCCGAAUUCACUGGGCGUAAAGCGCGUGCAGGCGGCUCUAUAAGUUGGAUGUGAAAUCUCCUGGCUCAACUGGGAGAGGCCGUUCAAUACU